ensembl:lncRNA
GUUUACUUACUGUGUAUGUCAACCAGUUCCCUACUGUAAUGUUGUCUCAUUACUUAUGUUCUUUUCACAAAGCAAGUGGUAGGUUAUCACUUCAUUACAUGGUGCUUGAUUCUGGAACAAGAGGAAUUAGCCUUAAACAUCAUCCCAGAGGAAAGUGAUGCUGCAGUCACCAACUCCUCAGAGCCACGGUGCAGCCCCAGCCCCUGCUCCCAUGACACAGCCCUGCACCUGAGCAGCACGCAGAUCUCAGGACCAUGCUUCUACAGUCAAAAACCUUUUCAUGGUGCCAGGACACUGAGCUUUUACACUGUCCAGAUGCCAUGGAGAUUUGGCCAGUUGAUUUAUUGAAAUCAGUUAUUAGUGCUGUACAUUGGUACUUUGAACAUGCACCCUAACCAAG